rnacentral:rRNA from 1 species
ACGCUCGACACCUACUGGAGGCAGCAGUGGGGAAUAUUGGGCAAUGGGCGCAAGCCUGACCCAGCAACGCCGCGUGAAGGAAGAAGGCUUUCGGGUUGUAAACUUCUUUUGUCAGGGAACAGUAGAAGAGGGUACCUGACGAAUAAGCCACGGCUAACUACGUGUCAGCAGCCGCGGUAAUCUGAGCGGGCUGGCAAGGC